rnacentral:rRNA from 1 species
UAAGGAAUAUUGGGCAAUGGACGAAAGUCUGACCCAGCCAUGCCGCGUGCAGGAUGACAGCCCUAUGGGUUGUAAACUGCUUUUAUAUGGGAAAAAACCCCUCGACGAGCUCGGGGGUUGAUGGUACCAUGUGAAUAAGCAUCGGCUAACUCCGUGCCAGCAGCCGCGGUAAUACGGAGGAUGCAAGCGUUAUCCGGAUUCAUUGGGUUUAAAGGGUGCGCAGGCGGAAUGAUAAGUCAGUGGUGAAAUCUCCCGGCUCAACUGGGAAACUGCCAUUGAUACUGUCGUUCUUGAGUACAGUUGAUGUGGACGGAAUGUGUCAUGUAGCGGUGAAAUGCUUAGAUAUGACACAGAACACCGAUAGCGAAGGCAGUUCACGAAGCUGUAACUGACGCUCAUGCACGAAAGCGUGGGGAUCAAACAGGAUUAGAUACCCUGGUAGUCCACGCUGU